rnacentral:rRNA from 1 species
GACGAACGCUGGCGGCGUGCUUAACACAUGCAAGUCGAACGGAAAGGCCCUGCUUUUGUGGGGUGCUCGAGUGGCGAACGGGUGAGUAACACGUGAGUAACCUGCCCUUGACUUUGGGAUAACUUCAGGAAACUGGGGCUAAUACCGGAUAGGAGCUCCUGCUGCAUGGUGGGGGUUGGAAAGUUUCGGCGGUUGGGGAUGGACUCGCGGCUUAUCAGCUUGUUGGUGGGGUAGUGGCUUACCAAGGCUUUGACGGGUAGCCGGCCUGAGAGGGUGACCGGCCACAUUGGGACUGAGAUACGGCCCAGACUCCUACGGGAGGCAGCAGUGGGGAAUAUUGCACAAUGGGCGGAAGCCUGAUGCAGCAACGCCGCGUGCGGGAUGACGGCCUUCGGGUUGUAAACCGCUUUCGCCUGUGACGAAGCGUGAGGGACGGGAAUGGGUAAAGAAGCACCGGCUAACUACGU